rnacentral:rRNA from 1 species
UAGAACAAAAGAUUUAACAUUCUAAUUCAUAUAUUUAAUAUAACUUCUAAAGUUAUUCAAAAUGUAAAAAAACAUUUAUAUACUAGAAAGACGACAAGACCCUAUCGAACUUAACUUUAGUUAAACUGGGGCAGUAAAUUAAUUAUUAUUUUAAUAUAAAUAUAUAAUCAAAUAUCCAACUUAAUUGAUUAAUCCAGUUACCAUAGGGAUAACAGCGCAAUUAUAUUUUAAAGUUCUUAUACAAAAAAUAGAUUACGACCUCGAUGUUGAAUUAAUAACCUAAUUAAGGCAAAUCUUAAAACAAGGAAGUCUGUUCGACUUUUAAACAAUUACAUGAUUUGAGUUCAGACCGGUGUAAACCAGGUCGGCUUCCAUCUUCUAAACAGUUUUUUACAGUACGAAAGGACCUAAAAAUAUUUAAAAAAUUUUAUUAGCAAAUAAAUGCAUUAGAAUUAGAAUCUAAUUAAACUCUA